rnacentral:lncRNA from 1 species
CCCGGGCGCGGGGUGCGGCGGCGCCGCUCGGGGCGGGCUCGGACCGGCCGCCGGUAACGGCCCCGCGGAGAGCAGCGCGGGCCAGGCCGGGCCUCCCGGCGACUAUCGCGACAGCCGCGCCGCAAGCGGUGGGUCCGGCCCGUAGGGCAGCGGCGGCGGGGAGGCUCGGGCCGGGGGUCACGGCUCCGGUACAGGAGAGGGCGGCUACCCCGGCGCCGCCGGUCUGGGGCAAAUGACAUUACCGGGGCCUGCGCUUGUAAAUCACGGCGACACUGGGAGCUGCAGCUGCCGCGGCAGGGGGCACCGGGCAGAGCCGGGGCACGGCACGCACCGGAGGCACCGGGUGGAGCCGGGCUCGCUGCAGUAAGGGGUGACUGUCCGGUGCGUGGGGCCACCAGCAGCGCAGGGGCCAUGCACAAGCACGGGGACCCCCGCGGGGCACAGCUGCCUGCCCAUGCGUGUGUGUGCACAGCCUGCAGCGCGGCACAGCUGCACACACACACGCUGUGCAGCUCGGGUGCUCAUGGGCAGAUAGGCUGUCACAUGCGUGCUCGCACAUAUGUUCACCCACACACUCACACACAUGCUCACACUCACAUGCUCACCCACAUGCUCACACACACUCACACACACUCACACACAUGCUCACACUCACAUGCUCACACACACUCGCACACACUCACACACACACACUCACACUCACAUGCUCACACACACUCGCACACACUCACACACACUCACAGACACACACCCCCCUCCCCAAGGAAUGGCACAGCUAUCCCAGCACACGCUGCACCAGUGCACGCACGUGCACACACACACAUCACAUGUCAGCACAGCUACACACACAUACACAGCCCCCCCCAUGUUGGCACACGCACACACACAUGUGCACGCACGUGUCCCCACCAGGCCCAGGCUGGCUGCAUGCUGCUCUGCCCGAUCCUCACGCUGUGCCAAGCUGGCAGUGCCCACACCCCACCAUAGUGCUGCCCCUUCCAUGGUGGGGGCAUUGCCCUUCCUGCUGCUCCUGAGGGACACCAUGCUGGGGGUGCCACCACACUCUGGCCCACGGCACCAGCGCCCUGCCCUGCCAGGGGCACUGGGGGUCUCCUGGCAUUUCUUGCUUGCAGUCUGGCAGGUGCCAGGAGAAACCUGCCUGGUGCUCCUGCUGUGGCUUCACCACCUGAAGCAAGCCACUGGCUCCCCCGCCUGCCACGGCAAAGGGGCUUGCUGUGGCCCCAGGGGGCACAGCUGGCACUGGCUCUGGUUCUGGCACUGGCACUGGCUCUGGGUGCCUAGCUCUGGUGCUGGCAUUGGAAAUGGCACUGGCACGGGCACCAGCACUGUCAUUGGCUCUGCUGCUGGCACCAGCUCUGGGUGCCUGGCUCUGGUGCUGGCACUAGCACUGACUCUGGCUCUGACACCAGCUCUGGUGCGGGCAUUGGCACUAGCCUUGGCACCAGCACUAGCCCUGGCACUGGUGCCGGCACUGGCACUAGCCCCAGCACUGGCACAGGCCCCGCAGCCACGGCCGGGAGCAGCAGUGGGGAGGACAUGCCUGGCGCUGGGGGAGGGAGGCGGCAGCAGGUUAAUUAAACCUGGAGCAGGAGGCAGAUGUUUGCCGUGCCCAGGGGCUGGAAUGCUGCCGGUCUGGGAGAUGGAUUGGGGGGCAGGUGACAGGGCCGGGGGCAGCAAGGGCUCACACGGCGCCUGCCUGCACCAGGGUCCGCCCCACGCCCACAAGGGUCUGCUGGGCGGGUGCUCAUCCCAACCCCCCACUCAGGGUACCCCGGGGGGACGGGAGCACCCUCCAGAGCCCCUGCUGGACCCGGG